GCUUAGCCUUAAACUUAGUUAGUAUAUUACAUACACACCCGCCUGGGAACUACGAGCAUUAGCUUAAAACCCAAAGGACUUGGCGGUGCUUAACACCCCCCUAGAGGAGCCUGUUCUAGAACCGAUAACCCUCGUUAAACCUCACCCUUUCUUGCCUAUUCCGCCUAUAUACCGCCGUCGUCAGCUUACCCUGUGAAGGUCUUAUAGUAAGCAUAAUUGGUUUAUACCCAAAACGUCAGGUCGAGGUGUAGCAAAUGAAGGGGAAAGAAAUGGGCUACAUUUCCUGGCCACAGGAUAUACGGAAAAUACUGUGAAAAGAGUAUUAGAAGGAGGAUUUAGAAGUAAGAGGGAAACAGAGUGUCCCCCUGAAACAGGCUCUUAAGCGCGU
rnacentral:rRNA from 1 species